rnacentral:rRNA from 1 species
UACGGAGGGGGCUAGCGUUGUUCGGAAUUACUGGGCGUAAAGCGCGUGUAGGCGGCUCGGAAAGUCGGAUGUGAAAGCCCUGGGCUUAACCUAGGAAGUGCAUUCGAAACUCUCGAGCUUGAGUUCUGGAGAGGAAGGCGGAAUUCUCGGUGUAGAGGUGAAAUUCGUAGAUAUCGAGAGGAACACCGGUGGCGAAGGCGGCCUUCUGGACAGUGACUGACGCUGAGACGCGAAAGCGUGGGGAGCAAACAGGG